AUGAGCCAAGAUUUUGCUGUGAAAUGUAGCUAUCAAUUGUUACCUAUAAAACCAAGAGUUAUUGUUGUGGCUGGUGGAGGCAGACUUAUUUCUUCAGCUGUAGCACCUAACUCAGGAGUAGCAACAGAACUCAAGAAGAUACAAGCUAUUGUUGAGUGUCCAACACCAGACAAUGUUACAAAACUAAGGAGUUUUCUGGGUUUGGCAGGGUACUACAUAAGAUUUAUUAAGGGAUAUGGUGUUAUUUGUAGACCCCUACACGAUCUUCUGAAGAAAGGACAGUUUGCUUGGACAACUGCUCAUGACACAACAUUUGCACAACUAUAA
rnacentral:rRNA from 1 species